rnacentral:rRNA from 1 species
ACAUCCCGAUGCUAUUUCUAGAGAUAGAAGUUACUUCGGUACAUCGGUGACAGGUGGUGCAUGGUUGUCGUCAGCUCGUGUCGUGAGAUGUUGGGUUAAGUCCCGCAACGAGCGCAACCCCUAUUGUUAGUUGCCAUCAUUCAGUUGGGCACUCUAGCGAGACUGCCGGUAAUAAACCGGAGGAAGGUGGGAUGACGUCAAAUCAUCAUGCCCCUUAUGACCUGGGCUACACACGUGCUACAAUGGUUGGUACAACGAGUUGCGAGUCGGUGACGGCGAGCUAAUCUCUUAAAGCCAAUCUCAGUUCGGAUUGUAGGCUGCAACUCGCCUACAUGAAGUCGGAAUCGCUAGUAAUCGCGGACCAGCACGCCGCGGUCGAUUACGUUCCGGCCUU